UUUAAUAUCAGCUACUAAAAUAUUAAAGAAAACAAGUUCCAGGACUCCUAGAUAAAGAAUUCCUGCCAAGGCCCAGGUAAGUAAUCUAGAGCAAGACUUGGAUCACAGAGCUCAAGUCUGUUUCUGGGACGGUUGAGAGAGCAGGCGGAAUGAUAUGAUCUUCCUUGUAUUUACAGACAGAUGAAGUCCCAACAAAGGCAUUUCCUGGAGCUCCCUAGUGGCCCCAGGGAUCGGCAGGGAGAUCUUUUGGGCUGGGGAAGGGGGGUAGAGGGGAUGUGAGGCUUCAGUACAACUGGUUGUCAUAGUAAUAGAAUCAGCAAAGCAACAAACUCCAACAUGUCCUGGCUGACAUGAGAGGGAGGAGAAGACCAGGAAACAACGCAGAUCUUUCUCUAACUGGCCUGCCUGCCUGCCUCCCAGUCUUCUGAGGAACUGGCUGUGACGAAUACAGGUGAUCUACGCCACUCCACUCCUUCAUUUUACAGGAGAGGCAAGAAAAGUCAGUGGAAGUCACCAAACAGGAGAAGAUCUCAACUUGAGAAUCUGAAGAUGCAACUUGUUCUCUCUAGAGAGUUUCUAAGAAGUUUGUAUGAAGUUUGAUGAAAAUCAUUGAACUCAUCUGAAAGUUUUUGUGAUACAGACAACAUCAGAUGUUAUGGUUGAGUUUAAACCUCAAUUCACUUAUGAGGCAAAGUUAUUAAGGAAGGGGAAAGAAUUGUAAUUGGUUUAAUAGCGAAAAAAGGAAACAAAAAGGAUGAGAUGCAUUACUUAAAAUAUGAUCAUUUGAUUGCUAACCUACCACAAGUAGGAUUUGAUAUUUAUUCUUCUUUCCUAUUCUCUCUUUCUCUCUAUUCCCACAGACUUAAAAAAGUCUCCUAGGAUUUUAUUUCUAAUUCUACUCCUUGCUCUCAGUCAGAAAUAGGGUAAAUUUGAGCACAAUUCUAGGAUGUUGUACCCAUUCUGUGGAAAGUCUGGUGGCUUGACUGAGAUCAGAGAGUUGUAAGUUUUUGUUUUUUGCAAAAUUUUUGUCAAUAAACCUAAUUCUUAUCUUAA